GGGGACGUAAUGGAAUCGACAGGGAAGAUAAUCGGUAAGUAAGCAUGCCGGAGUACGAUAGCUCAUCUCCGUUAACAAACGGCUAUUAACCCUUUUACAUGGCAACUCACAGUUCGCCAUGGCUGCCUAAGAUUAGAUCUUAGAAAGCCUUUGUGCCGUACGCUUGAAGCCUGCUACACAGCGUGCCGCAUAUCAUCAACCCGCGGGCUAGUCGGUCAGGAUGCUUCGACUGACAGGCGAAAUUCAGAAGAUAAGGCGUGAGUAACGGUCGGUGAACGGACCUCCCUCCCGCUCGAAAACCUCAACCGGACACUAAGCAUGUAGAAAGCUUAUUGGUGCUUUCGCUGGACGCGAGUUCGACUCAGAGGGUCGCCCAUGCGGUGACGCAUGGUGAACCAAAUCGGGUGAAUUCAGGGAAGCCUAAGUGGCGAACAGCCAUACGGUAAUCCUGAGCCAAGCCAAAGGGAAGACUUUGGAAGGUGCAGAGACUAGGGACACUACGGUGAGCCCACAGCGCCCGACAUCUCCACGGAGAUGAUGAUAUAGUCCGAUACCCCGGGAAACCGGGGGCCUGUACGACUAAGUCCUGCAGGCCGAAACAGCUACUGUUGUUUCGAACGCAUUGCUCGCCGUCUCCACUA
rnacentral:tmRNA from 1 species